rnacentral:misc_RNA from 1 species
AACGCACAUUGCACCCUCUGGUAUUCCGGGGGGUAUGCCUGUUCGAGCGUCAUUUCAACCCUCAAGCCCAGCUUGGUAUUGGGUAUCACCUGACAAUGGUGUACCUUAAAAUCAGUAGCGGUGCUAUCUGGCUUCAAGCGUAGUAAAACAAUCGCUUUGGAGGAUUGGAUAUGUUGCUUGCUAUUAACCCCUAAUUUAUUCAAAGGUUGACCUCGGAUCAGGUAGGGAUACCCGCUGAACUUAA